AAAGUCGUUAUAAAAAGGAUUGAAGAUUUAUCUGAUUGAGAUUUUAUAACAAUGGCUUUAGUGGCGGACUGGUGAGUAACGCGUGAGCAACCUGCCUACUAGAGGGGAAUAACAGUGAGAAAUCAUUGCUAAUACCGCAUAUGCCAUGAACAUCACAUGAUGAAAAUGGGAAAAGAGUAAUCUGCUAGUAGAUGGGCUCGCGUCUGAUUAGAUAGUUGGUGGGGUAACGGCCUACCAAGUCGACGAUCAGUAGCCGGACUGAGAGGCUGAACGGCCACAUUGGGACUGAGAUACGGCCCAGACUCCUACGGGAGGCAGCAGUCGGGAAUAUUGCGCAAUGGAGGAAACUCUGACGCAGUGACGCCGCGUAUAGGAAGAAGGUUUUCGGAUUGUAAACUAUUGUCGUUAGGGAAGAUACAAGACAGUACCUAAGGAGGAAGCUCCGGCUAACUACGUGCCAGCAGCCGCGGUAAUACGUAGGGAGCAAGCGUUAUCCGGAUUUAUUGGGUGUAAAGGGUGCGUAGACGGGACAACAAGUUAGUUGUGAAAUCCCUCGGCUUAACUGAGGAACUGCAACUAAAACUAUUGUUCUUGAGUGUUGGAGAGGAAAGUGGAAUUCCUAGUGUAGCGGUGAAAUGCGUAGAUAUUAGGAGGAACACCGGUGGCGAAGGCGACUUUCUGGACAAUAACUGACGUUGAGGCACGAAAGUGUGGGGAGCAAACAGGAUUAGAUACCCUGG
rnacentral:rRNA from 1 species